rnacentral:rRNA from 1 species
UACGUAGGGUGCGAGCGUUGUCCGGAAUUACUGGGCGUAAAGAGCUCGUAGGUGGUUUGUCGCGUUGUCCGUGAAAACUCACAGCUCAACUGUGGGCGUGCGGGCGAUACGGGCAGACUGGAGUACUGCAGGGGAGACUGGAAUUCCCGGUGUAGUGGUGGAAUGCGUAGAUAUCGGGAGGAACACCAGUGGCGAAGGCGGCUUCCUGGACCUGUUCUGACACUGAGGAGCGAAAGCGUGGGGAGCGAUCCGG